rnacentral:rRNA from 1 species
UUCGAAGCGGGACGGGAAACGGGAGCUUGCUCCCGGGAUGUUAGCGGCGGACGGGUGAGUAACACGUGGGUAACCUGCCUGUAAGACUGGGAUAACUCCGGGAAACCGGAGCUAAUACCGGAUAGUUCCUUGAACCGCAUGGUUCAAGGAUGAAAGACGGUUUCGGCUGUCACUUACAGAUGGACCCGCGGCGCAUUAGCUAGUUGGUGAGGUAACGGCUCACCAAGGCGACGAUGCGUAGCCGACCUGAGAGGGUGAUCGGCCACACUGGGACUGAGACACGGCCCAGACUCCUACGGGAGGCAGCAGUAGGGAAUCUUCCGCAAUGGACGAAAGUCUGACGGAGCAACGCCGCGUGAGUGAUGAAGGUUUUCGGAUCGUAAAGCUCUGUUGUUAGGGAAGAACAAGUGCAAGAGUAACUGCUUGCACCUUGACGGUACCUAACCAGAAAGCCACGGCUAACUACGUGCCAGCAGCCGCGGUAAUACGUAGGUGGCAAGCGUUGUCCGGAAUUAUUGGGCGUAAAGGGCUCGCAGGCGGUUUCUUAAGUCUGAUGUGAAAGCCCCCGGCUCAACCGGGGAGGGUCAUUGGAAACUGGGAAACUUGAGUGCAGAAGAGGAGAGUGGAAUUCCACGUGUAGCGGUGAAAUGCGUAGAGAUGUGGAGGAACACCAGUGGCGAAGGCGACUCUCUGGUCUGUAACUGACGCUGAGGAGCGAAAGCGUGGGGAGCGAACAGGAUUAGAUACCCUGGUAGUCCACGCCGUAAACGAUGAGUGCUAAGUGUAAGGGGGUUUCCGCCCCUUAGUGCUGCAGCUAACGCAUUAAGCACUCCGCCUGGGGAGUACGGUCGCAAGACUGAAACUCAAAGAAUUGACGGGGCCCGCACAAGCGGUGGAGCAUGUGGUUUAAUUCAAAUCACGCGAGAACCUUACCUGCCUGACAUCGUCGUGACACCCAGUGAAGAGGCUUCCUUCGGGACAAAUGACGGGGGGGUUGGGUUGGUU